UACAGAGGUCUCAAGCGUUGUUCGGAUUCAUUGGGCGUAAAGGGUGUGUAGGUGGCGCCGUAAGUCGGGUGUGAAAUUUCGGAGCUUAACUCCGAAACUGCAUUCGAUACUGCGGUGCUUGAGGACUGGAGAGGAGACUGGAAUUCAUGGUGUAGCAGUGAAAUGCGUAGAUAUCGGGAGGAACACCUGUGGCGAAGGCGGGUCUCUGGACAGUUCCUGACACUGAGGCACGAAGGCCAGGGGAGCAAACGGG
rnacentral:rRNA from 1 species